UAGGGAAUCUUCGGCCAUGGGGGGAACCCUGACCGAGCAACGCCGCGGGAGUGAAGAAGGUUUUCGGAUCGUAAAGCUCUGUUGUUAAGGAAGAACGAGUGUGAGAAUGGAAAGUUCAUGCUGUGACGGUACUUAACCAGAAAGGGACGGCUAACUACGUGCCAGCAGCCGCGGUAAUACGUAGGUCCCGAGCGUUGUCCGGAUUUAUUGGGCGUAAAGCGAGCGCAGGCGGUUAGAAAAGUCUGAAGUGAAAGGCAGUGGCUCAACCAUGGUAGGCUUUGGAAACUGGUUAACUUGAGUGCAGAAGGGGGGGGAGGAAUUCCAGGUGUAGCGGUGAAAUGCGUAGAUAUAUGGAGGAACAACGGUGGCGAAAGCGGCUCUCUGGUCUGUAACUGACGCUGAGGCUCGAAAGCGUGGGUAGCAAACAGG
rnacentral:rRNA from 1 species